rnacentral:rRNA from 1 species
GCUCUGUGGNUUAGUGGCGAACGGGUGAGUAACACGUGAGUAACCUGCCCUUGACUCUGGGAUAAGCACUGGAAACGGUGUCUAAUACCGGAUACGACCCUCGGAGGCAUCUCCAGGGGGUGGAAAGAAUUUCGGUCAAGGAUGGACUCGCGGCCUAUCAGCUAGUUGGUGAGGUAAUGGCCCACCAAGGCGACGACGGGUAGCCGGCCUGAGAGGGUGACCGGCCACACUGGGACUGAGACACGGCCCAGACUCCUACGGGAGGCAGCAGUGGGGAAUAUUGCACAAUGGGCGCAAGCCUGAUGCAGCAACGCCGCGUGAGGGACGAAGGCCUUCGGGUUGUAAACCUCUUUUAGUAGGGAAGAAGCGAAAGUGACGGUACCUGCAGAAAAAGCACCGGCUAACUACGUGCCAGCAGCCGCGGUAAUACGUAGGGUGCAAGCGUUAUCCGGAAUUAUUGGGCGUAAAGAGCUCGUAGGCGGUUUGUCGCGUCUGCUGUGAAAACUGGGGGCUCAACCCCCAGCCUGCAGUGGGUACGGGCAGACUAGAGUGCGGUAGGGGAGAUUGGAAUUCCUGGUGUAGCGGUGGAAUGCGCAGAUAUCAGGAGGAACACCAAUGGCGAAGGCAGAUCUCUGGGCCGUAACUGACGCUGAGGAGCGAAAGCA